rnacentral:rRNA from 1 species
UUGAUCCUGGCUCAGAUUGAACGCUGGCGGCAUGCCUAACACAUGCAAGUCGAACGGCAGCACAGGUAGCAAUACCGGGUGGCGAGUGGCGGACGGGUGAGUAAAGCAUCGGGAUCUACCCUGACGUGGGGGAUAACCUCGGGAAACCGGGACUAAUACCGCAUACGUCCUACGGGAGAAAGCGGGGGACCUUCGGGCCUCGCGCGGCAGGACGAACCGAUGUGCGAUUAGCUAGUUGGCGGGGUAACGGCCCACCAAGGCGACGAUCGCUAGCUGGUCUGAGAGGAUGAUCAGCCACACUGGGACUGAGACACGGCCCAGACUCCUACGGGAGGCAGCAGUGGGGAAUAUUGGACAAUGGGCGCAAGCCUGAUCCAGCAAUGCCGCGUGUGUGAAGAAGGCCUUCGGGUUGUAAAGCACUUUUAUCAGGAGCGAAAUACCACGGGUU